rfam:Gossypium hirsutum cultivar TM-1 chromosome 18, whole genome shotgun sequence
AAAUCGUGGUGUGGGUAUUUUUGAAUCAGCGUCUUAAAAUGCUCCCAUGCUUCGUGAAAGCUUUCCCACUCUAAUUGUUUGAACAUAUAAAUUUCUCUUCUUAGUUG